rnacentral:rRNA from 1 species
AGCAGCCGCGGUAAUUCCAGCUCCAAUAGCGUAUAUUAAAGUUGUUGCAGUUAAAAAGCUCGUAGUUGAAUUUCGGGGUUAGCAAGUUGGUCGUGCCUUUGGUAUGCACUGGCUUUGCUGAUUCCUCCUUCUUGAAGAACUGUGAUGCUAUUAAUUUGGUGUUGCAGGGAAACAGGACUGUUACUUUGAAAAAAUUAGAGUGUUUAAAGCAGGCUAACGCUUGAAUACAUUAGCAUGGAAUAAUGAAAUAGGACGUUUGAUCCUAUUUUGUUGGUUUCUAGGAUUGACGUAAUGAUUAAUAGGGAUAGUUGGGGGCAUUAGUAUUCAAUUGUCAGAGGUGAAAUUCUUGGAUUUAUUGAAGACUAACUACUGCGAAAGCAUUUGCCAAGGAUGUUUUCAUUAAUCAAGAACGAAAGUUAGGGGAUCGAAGACGAUCAGAUACCGUCGUAGUCUUAACCAUAAACUAUGCCGACUAGGGAUCGGAUGAUGUUAAUUUAUAAUGA